rnacentral:rRNA from 1 species
AAAGGGAGAGCAUACGUAGAAAUCUGCCCCGGAGUCUGGGAUAGCGUUGGGAAACUGGCGGUAAUACCGGAUAACGUCUUCGGACCAAAGAAUUUCGCUCUGGGAUGAGUCUACGACCUAUUAGCUGGUUGGUGAGGUAACGGCUCACCAAGGCGACGAUGGGUAGCGGGUGUGAGAGCAUGAUCCGCCUCACUGGGACUGAGACACUGCCCAGACAUCUACGGAUGGCUGCAGUCGAGAAUCUUUGUCAAUGGACGAAAGUCUGAACAAGCGACGCCGCGUGCGGGAUGAAGGCCCUCGGGUUGUAAACCGCUGUCAGAGGGGAGGAAAUUUUGACUGAACCUCAGAGGAAGGACGGGCUAAGUUCGUGCCAGCAGCCGCGGUAAGACGAACCGUCCGAACGUUAUUCGGUAUCACUGGGCUUAAAGAGUCCGUAGGCGGCCAUGUAGGUCAGAUGUGAAAUCCCACAGCUCAACUGUGGAACUGCGUUUGAAACCACAUGGCUUGAGGAAGAUAGAGGUGAGCGGAACAGAUGGUGGAGCGGUGAAAUGCGUUGAUAUCAUCUGGAACACCGGUGGCGAAAGCGGCUCACUGGAUCUUUUCUGACGCUGAGGGACGAAAGCUAGGGUAGCGAACGGGAUUAGAUACCCCGGUAGUCCUAGCCGUAAACGAUGAGCACUAGUCCGUGGGG